ensembl:lncRNA
GAGAGGAAGAGAGGGGAGGAAGAGAGGAGGGGAGUAUGAAGAGGCUGGAAGAGAGGAGGGGAGUAUGAAGAGGCUGGAAGAGAGGAGGGGAGUAUGAAGAGACUGGAAGAGAGGAGGGGAGUAUGAAGAGACUGGAAGAGAGGAGGGGAGUAUGAAGAGGCUGGGAGAGAGGAGGGGAGUAAUGAAGAGACUGGAAGAGAGGAGGGGAGUAUGAAGAGACUGGAAGAGAGGAGGAGAAGGAGAGAGAGAAGAGAGGAGGGGAGUAUGAAGAGACUGGAAGAGAGGAGGGGAGUAUGAAGAGACGAAGAGAGUAGGGGAGUAUGAGGAGGCUGGAAGAGAGGAGGGGAGUAGGAAGAGACUGGAAGAGAGGAGGGGAGUAUGAAGAGACUGGAAGAGAGGAGGGGAGUAUGAAGAGACUGGAAGAAAGGAGGGGAGUAUGAAGAGACUGGAAGAAAGGAGGGGAGUAUGAAGAGACUGGAAGAGAGGAGGGGAGUAUGAAGAGGGAGACUGGAAGAGAGGAGGAGAGUAUGAAGAGGGAGACUGGAAGACAGGAGGGGAGUAUGAGGAGACUGGAAGAGAGGAGGGGAGUAUGAAGAGGCUGGAAGAGAGGAGGGGAGUAUGAAGAGACUGGAAGAGAGGAGGGGAGUAUGAAGAGACUGGAAGAGAGGAGGAGAGUAUGAAGAGACUGGAAGAGAGGAGGGCAGAGUAUGAAGAGACUGGAAGAGAGGAGGGGAGUAUGAAGAGGCUGGAAGAGAGGAGGGGAGUAUGAAGAGACUGGAAGAGAGGAGGGGAGUAUGAGGAGGCUGGAAGAGAGGAGGGGAGUAUGAAGAGGCUGGAAGAGAGGAGGGGAGUAUGAAGAGGCUGGAAGAGAGGAGGGGAGUAUGAAGAGGCUGGAAGAGAGGAGGGGAGUAUGAAGAGACUGGAAGAGAGGAGGGGAGUAUGAAGAGACUGGAAGAGAGGAGGAGAAGGAGAGAGAGGAAGAGAGGAGGAGAGUAUGGAGAGACUGGAAGAGAGGAGGGGAGUAUGAAGAGACUGGAAGAGAGGAGGGGAGUAUGAAGAGGCUGGAAGAGAGGAGGGGAGUAUGAAGAGGGAGACUGGAAGAGAGGAGGGGAGUAUGAAGAGGGAGACUGGAAGAGAGGAGGAGAAGGAGAGCGAGGAAGAGAGGAGGAGAAGGAGAGAGAGGAAGAGAGCAGGAGAAGGAGAGAGAGGAAGAGAGGAGAAGGAGAGAGAGGUAGAGAGGAGGAGAAGGAGAGAGGAGGGGAGUAUGAAGAGACUGGAAGAAAGGAGGAGAAGGAGAGAGAUGAAGAGAGGAGGAGAAGGAGAGAGAGGAAGAGAGGAGGAGAAGGAGAGAGAGGAAGAGAGGAGAAGGAAAGAGAGGAAGAGAGGAGGAGAAGGAGAGAGAGGAAGAGAGGAGGAGAAGGAGAGAGAGGAAGAGAGGAGGAGAAGGAGAGAGGAAGAGAGGAGGGGAAUAUGAAGAUACUGGAAGAGAGGAGAAGGAAAGAGAGGAAGAGAGGAGGAGAAGGAGAGAGAGGAAGAGAGGAGGGGAGUAUGGAGAGACUGGAAGAGAGGAGGAGAAAGAGAGAGAGGAAGAGAGGAGGAGAAGGAGAGAGGAAGAGAGGAGGGGAAUAUGAAGAUACUGGAAGAGAGGAGAAGGAAAGAGAGAAGAGAGAGAGAAGGAGAGAGAGGAAGAGAGGAGGAGAAGGGAGAGAGAGGAAGAGAGGAGGAGAAGGAAAGAGAGGAAGAGAGGAGGAGGAGAAGGAGAGAGAGGAGGGGAGUAUUGAGAGACUGGAAGAGAGGAGGAGAAGGAGAGAGGAAGAGAGGAGGAGAAGGAGAGAGGAAGAGAGGAGGAGAAGGAGAGAGGAAGAGAGGAGGGGAAA